GACGAACGCUGGCGGCGUGCUUAACACAUGCAAGUCGAACGGAAAGGCCCCUUUUGGGUGGUGUGCGAGAGUGGCGAACGUGUGAGUAACACGUGUGAACCCUGCCCGUGACUGUGGUAUAAGCUGGAGAAACGGGGUCUAAUACGGGAUAAGAGCCUGCUGCACGGUGGGGGUUGGUGAGAUUUUGGGCGGUGGGGUGGGGUCGCGCGGCUUAACAGCUUGUUGGGGGGGUUGUGGUUAACCAAGGCGUUGACGGGGAGCGGGCCUGAGAGGGGUACCGGCAAAAUUGGGACUGAGACACGGCCCAGACUCCUCCGGGAGGAAGCAGUGGGGAAUAUUGAAAAAUGGGCGAAAGCCUGAUCCAGCAACGCCGCGUGGGGGAGGCGGGCCUUCGGGUUGUAAACCGUUUUCCUCAGGGCGGAAGUGUGAGUGACGGUAGUGGGUAAAGAAGCACCGGCUAACUACGUG
rnacentral:rRNA from 1 species